CCAAGGCUUGUGGGAGAACCAGAGCCUGGAAUUCUGGGAAAGCGGUGUUAAAGGGACAGUGCAAUGAUCUGCAGAGCCAGCUCCUUCCCCCUAGAUACCAGGGGACUGAGCGUAUGGGGGCAGUGAGAGGGGAUACACAGAGCGACUCUGAUACAAACACACACACCAACAAAAUAAAAACCUGCACAAAUAUUAAAAUACUAAAUUGAUG